AGAUUAAGCAUUAUUGCUGGUUUAGAAGCGUUAAAACACAAAGCCUCCCCUCUCUAUAAAGAGUAGGCAACACAAAUAAGUGUGUCAUGUUAAAUUUGAAACUAAUGUUAAAAAUUACAAGUAAAUCGCUGACAUUUUUGAGAUUUCAACAUGUUCUUGCCCCCUCACAGAUUAGCUGUUAGCUUCCAGGACCAAAUAAUGGGCAUUUAUUCUAAACCAAUCUCCUUCAGAACCUUCAGCCCUGCUGGGAGUGCUGGUGUUGGGUCCCUUCAUGUAUGCCAGGGGUCUUCAGCUGCAGCACUGGAUGGACAUGAUCAACAAAGCACAGGAGCCGGUCAGAAUGUGGCACAGACUGGGCCGGGCAAUAUAAAUCCCAACAUAGCAUUCAGAGGCUAAAGRGGAGUAAAAAAUAAAAAAAACCUUCAAAUAUUUGUUUAUYUUAGGCUUAGGUCCAGUCUCCAAGAGCUACUAUUAGUGACGGUGUGCUUAAAGCUGAAGCUCCAGGGCAUAUGUCGUGAAAAGCAACAUGGUGGUUUGUAARUCAAAGCUUGAUUUGGUCGGCCACUCAGUGAGGUUUCAGAAGAAUCAUGGUAUUGUUAGUUUGGUUCAACACGUYAACAGGAAGUGAAUCAUUGCUCAGACUACGUAGUCUGGAGCUUUGGUGUAAAUUAAAUUAAAUUAAAGCUGCUCUUCAUACUUUUCGCCACCAGAUGCCACUGAAGAGGUGAAAAGCUUUGAGUAAUUGAUCUUUAUUCAAUAGAAUCUUCAGAAAGCAUAAUUUGUUAGCAAGCCAUUCAAAGGGUUUGCAUAUAAAUGUAUCAGGAUAGCAGUUGUCAACAACUGGGCGGAAAAAAAAUUAAGGAUUUGCCAGUUUCUUGUUUUAUUUUUUUAUGAUAAAUUACCAGACCCUGUAGUUUAACUGCUCUAGUUUGUCCCUCCAUUUGACCUUCUGUCCCAGCCACACCAAUAAUAUCAUCAAAAGUUGACAUUAAUUAGAGUUGGAAAUGAAAAUAAAGAUUGAUUGUCUUGAGGCCUUUGUAUUUAUACUUCUUGCAUUUAUGUAUUUAAUUUCCCUUUGGAAAUAAAGUAUUUUUUAAAUGUGA